GGCUCAGGACGAACGCUGGCGGCGUGCUUAACACAUGCAAGUCGAGCGAUGAAGCUUCUUCGGAAGUGGAUUAGCGGCGGACGGGUGAGUAACACGUGGGUAACCUGCCUCAUAGAGGGGAAUAGCCUUCCGAAAGGAAGAUUAAUACCGCAUAAGAUUGUAAUAUCGCAUGAUAUAGCAAUUAAAGGAGUAAUCCGCUAUGAGAUGGACCCGCGUCGCAUUAGCUAGUUGGUGAGGUAACGGCUCACCAAGGCGACGAUGCGUAGCCGACCUGAGAGGGUGAUCGGCCACAUUGGGACUGAGACACGGCCCAGACUCCUACGGGAGGCAGCAGUGGGGAAUAUUGCACAAUGGGGGAAACCCUGAUGCAAGCAACGCCGCGUGAGUGAUGACGGUCUUCGGAUUGUAAAGCUCUGUCUUCAGGGACGAUAAUGACGGUACCUGAGGAGGAAGCCACGGCUAACUACGUGCCAGCCGCCGC
rnacentral:rRNA from 1 species